rnacentral:rRNA from 1 species
ACCCAACACCGGUUUAUGGUGGGGACGUCUGGCGGAACUGCCGGUGACAAACCGGAGGAAGGUGGGGAUGACGUCAAGUCCUCAUGGCCCUUAUGUCCAGGGCUACACACGUGCUACAAUGGCCGGUACAGAGUGACGCGAAGCCGCGAGGUGAAGCAAAUCGCAAAAAGCCGGCCUUAGUUCGGAUUGGAGUCUGAAACUCGACUCCAUGAAGGUGGAAUCGCUAGUAAUCGCGCAUCAGCAUGGCGCGGUGAAUACGUUCCCGGGCCUU